GGUUUCGGAUGGCAUCUUCAAAGGGCUCUGCAGGAAACAUAAAAGCAGCAAUCCAUGGGAAGGAAAACAAAGCUGGAUGGACUGGAACAUCUGGAUUAAGGGACCUCACUCAAGGUGUAACAGCAGUGUCUGCAGCAGGGAGUUGAAUCCACAAGCCAUGAGCCCAAAGGCUCACGCACUAUACCAGAAGAAUGGCUGCAUUAAAGUAUCCAAAAGUACCAUUGCGCAAUGUCAUAAGAGUCUCAAUAUCCACAUGUCUGUAGAAUUAACUUACCCAAACUUGGAAAAAUAAACAUGAGAAAGAAACAAAAUUAAAAUAUAUUAGAUUUGAA